GCCUGAGUGGUGGAAUGGUAUACACGCACGCCUUAAGAGCGUGUUGCCUCGGCAAUAAGGGUUCGAGUCCCUUCUCAGGCA
rnacentral:tRNA from 1 species